UGGGGAAUCUUGGACAAUGGGCGCAAGCCUGAUCCAGCCAUGCCGCGUGAGUGAAGAAGGCCUUCGGGUUGUAAAGCUCUUUUGUCAGGGACGAUAAUGACGGUACCUGAAGAAUAAGCCCCGGCAAACUUCGUGCCAGCAGCCGCGGUAAUACGAAGGGGGCUAGCGUUGUUCGGAAUUACUGGGCGUAAAGCGCACGUAGGCUGAUUGUUAAGUCAGGGGUGAAAUCCCAGAGCUCAACUCUGGAACUGCCCUUGAUACUGGCAAUCUCGAGUCCGGAAGAGGUUAGUGGAAUUCCCAGUGUAGAGGUGAAAUUCGUAGAUAUUGGGAAGAACACCAGUGGCGAAGGCGGCUAACUGGUCCGGUACUGACGCUGAGGUGCGAAAGCGUGGGGAGCAAACAGGAUUAGAUACCCUUGUAGUCCCUGAGCGGGCUGGCAAGGCGCAU
rnacentral:rRNA from 1 species